GCAUGUGGUUUAAUUCGAAGCAACGCGAAGAACCUUACCAGGUCUUGACAUCCCUGAAAACUCUAGAGAUAGAGCUUUCCUUCGGGCAGGACAGGUGGUGCAUGGUUGUCGUCAGCUCGUGUCGUGAGAUGUUGGGUUAAGUCCCGCAACGAGCGCAACCCUUGAUCUUAGUUGCCAUCAUUAAGUUGGGCACUCUAAGGUGACUGCCGGUGACAAACCGGAGGAAGGUGGGGAUGACGUCAAAUCAUCAUGCCCCUUAUGACCUGGGCUACACACGUGCUACAAUGGACGGUACAAAGAGCUAAUCUCAUAAAACCGUUCUCAGUUCGGAUUGUAGGCUGCAACUCGCCUACAUGAAGCUGGAAUCGCUAGUAAUCGCGGAUCAGCAUGCCGCGGUGAAUACGUUCCCGGGCCUUG
rnacentral:rRNA from 2 species